UGUGAAUAGCACGUGAGUAGUUUGGGCGUUAGUAGCAAAAACUAACUUAUUCCUUCCCGAUCUAAACUCUACUUUCUUCUUCAAUUACACAAGAACUCUAUUAUGCUUAGAACUCUCCCACUGUUUCUCUCACCAUCUCUGUAACUCUAUAAAUCUGAAUCUCUCACCACUUCUAAUUUCUAUCAAUUUCUAUUUCUUCUCUCCCUUCUUCAUUUCUAUUUGUUCUUCCCUUCAGAUUUGGGAGACUUGGGUUUAGUUGUCGGUUUUGAUUUAGAACAACUUCUGGCUUCUAUCGUCAAUUUUGAGGUAAUUUCUUUCGAAUCUUAAAGAAAAAUGUAAUCUAUAUCGUUACUUUGUUGGUUAAAUUCUGAUGGUGCAAGAAUUUGUUUUUGUAAUUUUAGUUUAUAUUCUGAUCAUUUUAUGAAACCGUAAUUCAUUGCUUUAUAAACCAUAUCUGUGUAAUUUUAGUUCUUAUGUCUUUAUUUUCUUGCAAAAUCCUCUCGUUUCUUAUGCCUUUUUGCUUCUUAGGCCCUUUUUCUUUCGUUGCUCCCCAAUUGCAACAGGUGUUAAUCUCUCUCUCUCUUUCAUUACUCUUGUUAAAAUACAAGAAUUGGGUGUUCAAAAUUGUGAUUUUGCUUUGUUGUUUUUAUUGUUAAUUUGUACGAGGAUGAAUUCAAGAAGAUCAAAUGAUCCGUUUUCUUAUUUUUCUAAUAUUUUUCCAUGUAUGAUUUCAAAUUUUAUUUAUUAAUUUCAAAUUCUUGUGGUAAUUAGUUAUGUACUGCAAGGGAGAUAUAGUCCAUUUGGGUUUGAAUGACAUCCCUAUUUCUGCAUAUCUCAAAACUUUUAACAAAUGAUUGAGUUCUGAGUACUCUCGGAAAAAAAAAAAAAAAAAAGAAGAAGAAGAAGAAGGAGAGCAUCACUUGGAAUACCUGAUUAAUGAUUCUUUUUCUACAAAUGUAUUAAUUACUCCCCGUUUGUAUUUAAUGUAUAGGCUUACGGACUUGUUCUUUAGUUUUUUUGAUAAUAAGUUAUGGUAUGACCAAUAUUCAGUUGUUAAUUCUACUGUAUCCGACGAACUACACACACCAUUAGAGUGCUGGUGGAUCCCAUUUACAUUGUAUGAUGGCAUGUUGUCUGAGUUGUACUUGAAUGUUGAGUCUCUCCAUUAGAAUAUGUUAUGGUUAUUAUCAAUAACAGUUAUAUGCUUAGCAUGGAAUAUGAGUUUGAGUCCUUCUGUGAUUGUCUUUAUGAGUGUUUCUUUAAGAUUUUUUUCAUUCUCGAAGAUCCUUUUGUUUCUUUCUCUCAAUAACCAGUAGGUAGUGGCGUAGACUGUAGCUUGGCAAAUUUCUUUGUGCAGUUGUUGUCCUUUGAAGUGUCUGCAUAUCCAAUUCCAUUCCAUAUGUGCGUCCUCUGACUUGUCAUUGGAGCUCACACCAGUUCAGAAUUUCAGUCCACACCUUCCUUGAAUAUCUCCAAUUAAAGAAUAGGUGUUUAGUAUCUUCACGAAAAUGCAUUCGACUAAAACUUGCACCACCAAUAUUUACAGGUACCAAUACAGGGAGAGCCUGAUUGGACUGCAUAUAGGAGGGUAUCUGUUGAGUGACUCGUACUGGGAACCCUUUGGGUACUUUGUGGUGUUUGUCUGCCUUGUACUCUCUGGGAAACUUCAUACUCCAAGUUACAAAGGACACAAUUAGUUUCAAGUAGCUUGCUCCAUCUCAGUAGUUUAUCCUGUGUCAAACGUGCUUCUUGUACGGCAAGCCAAGUAAUAAACAUAUCUCACCAAAAUCGUUUUUGAGUGUAAUGGUAGAUUACUUUGGUGUUGAAGAGUCAUUCUCUUUCUUAAUUUUAUUGACUAUUUGACACUUAAAUCUUUCUUCACUCAUAACAAGUGAGCAUUGUGCACGUUAGCUAGCUGUCUGUGCUAGUUCUUAUGAGCACAAAGUCAGCCACAGAUACAGUAAUGGGUCCUUAUACUUCAUGCUCAUAUAGAUCUCUUUGAAUGUGCAAGGAGAUUGUGGUGUUCUAUAGGAUAGGGACCUUAUAGCAAUUUAAUAUUUAGAUCUAUAAUUUGAAUCCAUGUAGAUGUAAUGUAGCACAUGACUUAGAUUCAUUGCACUUCAACUCUGUUUCUCUUUAUUUGCAUCUUUCUCUAUAAGUAGGACUAUUCAUUAGUCAUUAGAAUUCCUGAACGUGAAUGGCUACUGUAGUUAUAACGUACAGAGGUAAAAAGCAGUAAAACCUACUAUGUUGGACUCAAUGAAGCUGGUAGGUAUUGGGUCACUACUUCACUUGGGUCACAUUAAUAUGCAGGACUUGUUUGUGUGGAAAUGGAUCACUAUCAUCUUUGUGAUCUUCCCUUCUUGUCAUAAAUUUAGGUGUUCCUUUUUCGUUCUCUUGGAAAAAAUGAUCAUGCAUGUUGUUAAUUUUAGGAUUGUGUUCUUUUUUAAUGUUGCAGGAAAGCUAUGAUCAAUGAAGCAUCAAACUAAUUUCUUAGGGACAGUUCAUAUCUCAGGGUAUUUUUUUUCCGGUGAGUUAUACUUCCAGCAAGUCAUCACACACUAUUUUUUCACUUGUGGUAUGCAUCAUAUGACACUAUAUGUUUACGAAGGACUUAAAAGUGGAGUGAGUAGACAAUUAGGAUACUCUGUGUAAUCUGGCAGCUUCCAUUCACUCUUGUUAUGUAUGUUUUUAUAUUUUUUGAACAACUUGUUUUGUUUAAGAUUUCAUUAUACUUUGUAAUAAUUGUUAUGGUCACAUAAAAAUCUAGCAUAACUGAAUCUGAUCUGAAUUGAAUAAUACUGUUAUUUUCAUAGUAUUUUUGGAAUAUUAAUUCCAAAUAAUUUAUGGCAGAAGUUACAGUAUGAUACAUAUAUGUAAGGACACGAGAACAUAGUAUGGUUUUUUUUCUUCUUAAUCUAUCCCCUUUUUAACUCCGCGAAAGCAAACUUAUGAAAACCAUUGCUUUGCCGGUCCCAAGACCGGAUAAAAUAAGAGGGAAAAGGGUAAUAUUGUUAAAUUAUUUUAUAGUUGAAUUGUAAUACUGUAGUUUAAUUGUAUCAAUAAUUAACUUGAUUUUGUUUAUUACAGAGACUGCACAGGUUACAAGAUACCAACUGAAGUGUUGAAUUUUCCUGCAAGACCUAACUCUUCUUCGAUUUCUUUGUCCUGGGCGAAACCUACCAAUGAUGGUCAAGCUAAUAAGUUAGUAGUGAAUGAUGAAGAAGAGCUUUAUAAGCCUAAAAAACUGUAAGUCUAUAUAUCUCCAUUUGCCGACGCAUUGAGUUCAUUGAUGUAAGCAACAAUCUAAGAAUAUUUCUUCGCCGCACUAGGGCAGGUGGUUUGGGUAUCAAUCUCACUUCAACCGAGACCUAUAUAUAUUGUGUGACAGUGAUUAGGGUAAGCUCUCUCAUGGUCUAAAUCUCUAAACAUCUAUUGCAUCAUCUCCUCAAAACCCUGAAAUGGAUUUGCAUCCCAUGGAUAUUUGCCAAAGGAUAGGCCAAACCCGACCAAUUCGUGUGUAUAGUCAUUAGAGCUUUGUUUACUAUUGUGGAUGUCUUUUGUACUUGUGAAUAUUAUUUCUCGUUUAAAUUUUUUUUGUCAUAUGAACUAAUUAACUUUUCUUUAAUUAGUGUCGCAUAUUAAAGAGAGCUUUCAGUAAGUUGAGGCGUGAGCAUGUAGUGAUUGGGAAAGGCCAGUUCUAGUAGGAGAGAACCAAGUCAAAUUCUUUGAAUGUUCUUGAGGUUUGUGUUCUGUUACCUUCUCGCAUCUUGGUUGCUUUGUUAUGUUGUUAAACCCCUGGUUUGGAUAUCGAAGAACCACCCAAUGUUUUGAAUAUCCUUGGGUCUCUAUCAAAAGUAGAGACAUGAGGGUAGUAGCAACGUUGUCAUCACCUUUAUGUUUUUCACUUAUCUUUGUGCACGAUAGACCACCAAGUUGUUCCAUGUCGUCAUCACCUUUCACUAUGGUACAUAAUCAGAAUUAUGUACCUAGGCAUUGUAGUUUGAUAUUUUUCAUUUUCUUUCAACAGGCUGACAUCUAGAAUGUGAUGGAUGCUAUUGGAUCAACACUUUAUGUUAUGCAAACAAUGGUUUCCUGUCUAUGCUCUGUACUCCCAAAGGUGAACUGGCUAUAGUUGUCAGGAGUUUAAUUUUUUCUAUUCCUCAAGUUGAUUAUAACCAAUUAACCACAAACUUCAAAUAGUAAGUUGUGAUGUUGAUAUCUGUCUUUUUUAUGUAUAUGUUUUUUUCCCUUGGUUCCUAUUAACAAGAGUUUGUGUUUAAUAAAAAAAAUGUGUUCAUUAAGUUCGAGAUUGUGAAUGCUUUGGAAAUGUUAAUUGUUCAUUUAAUGUACUAAUUAAUUGCAUUUUCGCUUAGUUAGUUAUCGUAGGUACAUUAUAGCAAGUGUUAUGGCAUAAUGCAAUAAUGCUAAUAAUGUUGGAUUGCAGUUGGCAUUGUUAGUAAAAAGAUUGUGAAUGCUUUGAAAAUUUUAAUUAUUGGACUGCAGUGGUAUUGUUGAAUGAAAAUUUUGGAAUAUGUAUCUGUGCAGGUUGUAGAAAUGAUUAUGACAAGCUAGUAGGGCAAAAACAUUUUUUUGAUUACUUUCAAGAUUUGUAACGGCAAAAUACCGUUAGUAAAUGUUUACGUGUUACAACUUACUAACACAUAAGUACCGUUAGAAACGUUUUGUUAUUACAAAACACUAACAAAACUACUAACACAUACCAGCCGUUAGAAUUUACUAACGCAUAGAUGCCGUUAUAACUAGUUUGUUGUUACAAAUUACUAACAAAACUUCCUAACGUCAUAUUGCCGUUAGUAUUUUCUAACAUAUAAUUGCUGUUAGAAAAAAUAUGUUCUAACGGUUGUUUAUUGUUACAACAGUACCUGUUACUAAAUACUAACGCCGAUUUGCUAACGCAGAAAAACCGUUAGUAAAAAUUAUACUAAUAGCAUUUUGCUGUUAGAAAACGCCUUUUUGGUGUUGUUUAACAAAAAAAUCUCUCAUUCUCCCAUGCUCCGCAUUCCACUUCUCUUUCUACUAUCUCCUUCGAUUAAACUUAUUCUUUCUUUUGAGUCUCUUGUCUGCACUUCUACCCAUAAAUGUUUUUGAUAUUUUGAUUGUUUUAUUAUCUAUCUAUUAAGAUUACAAAGUUUGUUUAGCAUGAGUUCUUUCAAAAUUAAUAUGUUGGAAAUUUACAAUUUAAUUUAUAAAAGAACGGGAUGACUCAAUAUUGUAUGAAUCCAGGUUGUGACUUGUGAACUUGUUAUUGUUAUUCAAUUCACUGAUAAGAAAAAAUAAAGAGCUAUCUAGAGAUACCCCCGGAAUAGUUAGCACUCUUUGAGAUACCCCCAGAUUUAAAAACCAUUAAAGAUACCCCCCCAUUUUUUCAUUUGGAGCCGGUCAACCAACCUAUUGAUCUAUAUUUGACCAGUCUUUAUGUGACUUAGACUAAAAUACCCUUCCUUGAUUUUACUGGUGAUCCUAUUCAGCUACCCACUCACCAUUUAUGCCAUGUCAGCAAAAACACUUCAUUUCACCAAAUCUUAAACUCACCCACUAACCAUAUGUUAUCCCCACCCAAUAUUAGGAAGAUGUAAUCUGGACCGUCCAUUCUAAUCAAACUGAAACCCUAGAUCAAUAAUUAUUCUUUCACCAUAAUUAGAAAGUAAUUUGCUUGAGUGCGAGAGCGAGAGAGAGAGAGAGAGAGAGAGAGAGAGAGAGAGAGAGAGAGAGAGAGAGAGAGAGAGAGAGAGAGCAAUGCAACAAAAUUAGGGUUUUGAAAACCAACCUCAAUUCACUGUAGAUUCUCCUUCAUUUAUGUGUUUUGAACUUUGUUCUUCAAAAUCAAUGUUUUCUCCACCAAUUAUCGAUAUUUUUCAGAUUUCAUUUCUGAGAAUGAUGAAUCCAGUGAUGAAGAAAUGUUUAACUACGAAGAUCCUAGUAUAGAGAGUGUAAAUGGUGUUUUUCUUACAAAAUAUGUUGGUGUUGCAGGAGGUUUUAAAGAACGGUGUUGGAGAAGACAACCUUGAAUCCUUGAUGCCUCAUGUGGUCUUGUUAGAUAGAUGGAUGGAUUACACUGAGGUUAAUCCAACCGUCCUUAUGAUGCCACGUGUUUUUACAACUAGCUACUGCUAACCCUCAUGCUUGUCACGUGUAAUUCAAGUGGGGGUAUUUUAGCUAUUUUAUAAUAUUAUUUGGUUCAGCUACCGGUUCGUGAUCAAAACCUAAUUAAUCAAACUUAAGUGUUAUUUCCCUAAUUAGUAUAUACAUAUAGUGACUAAAACCUAAAUACCCCUAGAAAUCUACGAUCUAAGAAGAAUUCGUCGGCGAAAAUACUUGUAAGUUGACCUUAUUCUUGAAGAUUCGAACUUUCUAAUCUCUGAUUCAUGUUGGAUUUUACUCCAAUUUGUUUUUUUGUAGUUGUUUUUUUUUGUUUUACUUCCACCACAUUGGUUUUUCUGGUUAGAUCUAUAGUUAUAAAGUUAGAGUUUGUAGAUCUAGUGGUUUGAAAUGUUAGUAAUGGUGUUUGUUUGUAUUUGUGAUGGUUGGAAUGUUAGUAAAUGGUGUUUUGUACUGGAAUUGAUGGUAUUUGUAGGUAGUAGAAAGAUUAUGCCUUUAAUGCUUGAAAUUGAUGUUUUGUCACUGUAGUUGUUGGAAUGAUAGUAAUGGUGUUCUUUUUUAGUCACUGGAGUUGUUGGAAUUUAUGGUGUUUGUCAAUGUGAUAGUGUUUUGUAACUAACAGGAAUGACAUUAUUUAAAAGUUUGGAAAAAAUGGGGGGUAUCUCAAAAGAAAGUUUGUAUCUGGGGCAUAUCUCAAAUGCAAGUUUAGGGUUUCAAUUAUUUAAAAGUUCAAGUGAAAUAAAUCUUUAAUUGGGGGUAUUUCUACAUUCAAACUAUUAACUAUUAUUAUUUUGUAUGCAGUAAAAGUUUGGUCUGGUGCCCAGUAUUACCACCGAAACACGUAAGACUACACUUUGGUGAUAAGUGGAAUGAGUUCAGUAAAGAAAGAGCCAACUGGAAGACACAUGAUUAUGUAGGUGGUGUUCGUGUGGAAUUUCGGAAUGUUGAUGGGGAUACUAUCAAUAUGAUUGAGUUGGGUGAACUGUUGUGUCAAUCAUUGGAAGAGAGGUUGAUGCUUAAUAACAAUGUGGAAAAACUUCCAAUGUACCUAAUGGAAGGUAUUACGAUGGAGAUAUCAGAAGAUUAUGAUUGCUUGAUGUGGUGGAAAGAUGGUGAUCAUGAUGAGGAAGGAUACCUGCCAGUGUUUUAUAAAUUAUUGGAUGAGCUACAACCUAUAAGCCAGGAAGCUCCUCCUACACCUCCAAACCUUGAUAACAAUAUGGAGCAAUCUCAAACUACCCAAGAUUCUGCGGGUCUUGAUCAAGCUUCCAAGCCUAACUUUCUUGGCCAAAGAUGAAGGGGACUAGAAACAAGUGUAAGAACUUCAACAAGCAGAUUCAAGGAAUGAAAGCAUGGUAGAAGAAGAAGGAUAAAUAUGAACAACUUUCUGAGGAAGAGUUGGAUGAACUACCUGAGGUAAGAGCCAAGGAUACAGGGAUAUUCCCCCAAGAUUUCCCUCAAUACUAUUAGGACUUUGCCACAAGUUCAAAUGCACCUCACCCCCCCCCCCUCCCCCAACCUUGUGAAACUUCAAGUUCAGCUGCACCUAUACCUUCAUCUUCAAGUCAUGUUCCAACUUCAAGUCCAGCUGCACCCCCACCUUUAUCUUCAAGUCAUGUUCCAACUUCACCUCCACGUGAUAUUCCCACUUCAGCACCAUCUCCAAUGGCUGAAUCUGAUGAUGAUGAUCCUAUUGUCAAUAUAGAGCCUGAGGAGGAGUACCAUAGUUAUGAAUCAUCUUCAGAAGGUUCUAUUGGAGAUGAACCUUGUGAAGAUUUUGAUCCUAGAGAUGUAUCAUUUGAAGAAGAAACUGAAGACUUGUAUGACUUUGAGGAGAUGACUGAAAAAAACUCCCGGCUUUGAUGAUUUACCUGAGCCAGAAGUGAAUAUGUCAUGGCCAACAAUUGCUGCUUGUAGAGAGUAUUAAUAAGUAUCCAAAAACGUAGUUUUUACCCCUAAUUAGUAUGAUGUUAGAACUCGCUUUUGGACUUGAAUUAGAGUAAUUU
rnacentral:lncRNA from 1 species